rnacentral:rRNA from 1 species
GCUGACCUACGGGUGGCAGCAGUAGGGAAUCUUCCACAAUGGACGCAAGUCUGAUGGAGCAACGCCGCGUGAGUGAAGAAGGUUUUCGGAUCGUAAAGCUCUGUUGUUGGUGAAGAAGGAUAGAGGUAGUAACUGGCCUUUAUUUGACGGUAAUCAACCAGAAAGUCACGGCUAACUACGUGCCAGCAGCCGCGGUAAUACGUAGGUGGCAAGCGUUGUCCGGAUUUACUGGGUGUAAAGGGCAUGUAGGCGGGAGAGCAAGUCAGAUGUGAAAUCUAUGGGCUUAACCCAUAAACUGCAUUUGAAACUGUUCUUCUUGAGUAUCGGAGAGUCAGGCGGAAUUCCUAGUGUAGCGGUGAAAUGCGUAGAUAUUAGGAGGAACACCAGUGGCGAAGGCGGCCUGCUGGACGACAACUGACGCUGAGGCGCGAAAGCGUGGGGAGCAAACAGGAUUAGAUAUCCCAGUAGUCGUUCGAC